UGUCUUUAAUAUCCCUAAUGGAGGUUUUCUGUAUUACUCUCAUAGUUAUUUAGUCUACACUGCCCUAUUCUCCUUUAAUUCUUCCUGGGCAUAUUCCUUGUUAUCUCCAUUAUAUUGUGAUUUCAAUGAUAGUAACAGAAGAGUCAUUUUGCUGUUUCAUCUCAUCUUGAGACCUAAUUAACCAUUCAUAGGUUUGCUUCUUGACACACCUUGAAACUCCACAGAAUACUCCUAUUAUUGAUGAUCAAAAGGAAAGGCAAAAACACAUGGCAUCUGGAACAGACUGAUGAGACACUAUGGACCACUCUCAAAAAAUAGAGGCAGUCACAAAGCUUGGGACUUUGCAUUUUUCAAGGAGUACACAAAAUUACUCCUCUCCUUGGAAAUAUUCCCAUGCCCAUAUUAGUGCAUGAACUCAUCUACUGCCACAGUUGACUGGGUAUGGAAAAAAACUCCAGAACUACGAUGAGCAAAGAAGAAUCCCUUCCUAGAACUUUGGAAAUGAAACUAAGAAAUUACAACUUUAAUUAAUCAAAUUAAUACUUUGAUCAAAAUAAACAUUAACCCCAAGUUUUUGGUGGGCACACACUCUCAGACCCUAGGGAAUGGGAAGAAAGCCAAUGUGUAGAUGAGAGGUGCAGGAUCUUUAGUUUUCAAAUCCCUGAUUCUAGAUGUUCAUGAGGCCAAACUUCAUUCUCCCCCAUGGUUUCUGGGAUGUGCCAAAGUGUUCUCACAAUUGCCUCCCUUUGACUUCACACCCAGUUUAAGAUGGACUUCUGCUACUUGGAACAAAAGAUCCCACAUAUAGCCGGCACUGUGCUUAAUGUUUUCACAUUAAAUUCUCAUUUGUAGCUCUUGACUCUGCAAAAGCCCUUCAGGGAACACAUCAGUAUUUUCCUUUACAAGACAAAAACAAAAGCUCAAAAGGUUAAGUAAUAUAUUCAAGGUCACACAACUUGUAAAUGACAGAGCUGAGACUUGCAGCCAAAAUUACAAACCUAGUUACAUUAAAAUACACUCUUACACCAAAAUUUUAUUGGUUUUGGGGAGGUAAAAGCAUGUAUUUCCACCACGUUUAACCAGAAGUUAACUUUCUAAUAUGCAAACCUAUCAUGCUACUUUUUCUGCGGAAGAAUAUUCCAGUGGCUAUUACUACUGCUCCAACAUAGCUUAGAAAGACUGGCAUGAUCCAGCCCCUGCCUGCCUCUCCCGCUCUGUCUCAUGCAUCUUCAUCCAGCCGACUCUUUACUCUAGCCAGCCUGAAAGUGUUUCAGUUCUUUAAAAGCACCAUGAGCUCUCUCAGUGUCACUCCCUCAUGCAUACAUUUCUUUCUUUCCACGAGUAAUUUUCUCUGGUCUCAUCUUAGCCAUCUUUUCCCAAAGGAAUGAGUUGUUCCUCUGACACCUUACCAGGUCUGGGUCAGGUACCAUGCCUAAGUGCUCUUGUAUUGCCCUGAGCUUCCUGUGUCAGAUCCCUAAUUCAACAAAACGUAUCUGAGGCUCCUAUGGGCCAUGUCACAUCUUCCUAUUGUAUCGACUGUACUGAGCCCAGGGUCUGAUAUGGAACAGAUAUUCAAUGAUUAUUUAUUAAGUGAGUGAAUGAAUUUGCUGUGUUACUCUUUGAAUGUAUUACCCUCUCAUUAAAAAAAAAAUGUAUAACUGUUUUUCAAUCAAAUUCUAAAAUCUAAAAUAUCUCUAGUGCUAAGACUACAUAAUCAAUACAUGAUCUUUACUGUGUUUACUCUCUGUU